rnacentral:rRNA from 1 species
GAUGCGACAUCGACUAUGUCGAAUAAAAUUCUAGGUAGAAUUAUGAUAAUGACAUUGUCUGCCUAUGUGUCUUGACCAAAUUACGUGCCAGCAGUCGCGGUAAUACGUAGAAGACUAGUGUUAUUCAUGUUUAAUCGGUUUAAAGGGUACCUAGACGGUAAAUCAAGCUUUAUAAGAAAUAUAGUUAAAGGACUAAUUUACUAGAGUUACUUACGAGGGGGCAUUAAAGUACUACUGGUGUAGAGAUGAAAUUCUGUCAUACCUCUUUUCAAAAGAAAAAAUGAAGGCACAGGUAUAGGCGAAGGCAUCUCCUUAUGUGAUAACUGACGUUGAGGGACGAAGGCUUUGUAUAGCGAACAGGAUUAGUUACCCCAGUAGUCGAAGCAGAAAAUGAUGAAUGUCAUAGAUUAGAGGUAAGUUUAUUCUAUAAAUGAAAGUGUAAGCAUUCCACCUCAUGAGUAAUUUGGCAACAUUGGAACUGAAAUCAUUAGACCGUUUCUGAAACCAGUAGUGAAGUAUGUUGUUUAAUUUGAUGAUCCGCAAAAAACCUUACCACAAUUUGAAUAUUUAUAUUUUUUUUUAUUGUUUUCUUAUUAAUUUUCUUCUAAGAAGAAAGUUAAUAUAGAGGCAAUAAGAUAUAUUUACAAGCGUUGCACGGCUGUCUUCAGUUAAUGUCGCGAGACUUUGGUUAGUUCCAUUAAAUUAACGUAAACCCUUACUUUAUUUUUAUAUAGAGUAGUUCCCCGCUAUAUUGGAUAUGAA